UAGAGUUUGAUCCUGGCUCAGGACGAACGCUGGCGGCAGGCUUAACACAUGCAAGUCGCACGAGAACGUUCUGGCUUUGCCAGAACAAGUACAGUGGCGAACGGGUGCGUAACGCGUAGACAACCUGCCCUCAGGCGCGGGACAACCACGGGAAACCGUGGCUAAUACCGCACGUCGUCCAGACCCCGCAUGGGGACUGGAUGAAAGCCUUCGGGCGCCUUUGGAUGGGUCUGCGUCGGAUUAGCUUGUUGGUGAGGUAACGGCUCACCAAGGUAGCGAUCCGUAGCUGGUCUGAGAGGAUGAUCAGCCACACUGGGACUGAGACACGGCCCAGACUCCUACGGGAGGCAGCAGUGGGGAAUCUUGCACAAUGGGGGAAACCCUGAUGCAGCCAUGCCGCGUGGAGGAAGACACCCCUACGGGGCGUAAACUCCUUUUCUGCGAGAAGAAACCCCUGUAUGUUCAGGGUGUGACGGUACCGCAGGAAUAAGGACCGGCUAACUCCGUGCCAGCAGCCGCGGUAAUACGGAGGGUCCAAGCGUUGUCCGGAAUCACUGGGCGUAAAGGAUGCGCAGGCGGGGCAGCAAGUC
rnacentral:rRNA from 1 species